UAGGGAAUCUUCCACAAUGGGCGAAAGCCUGAUGGAGCAACGCCGCGUGUGUGAUGAAGGGUUUCGGCUCGUAAAACACUGUUGUAAGAGAAGAAUGACAUUGAGAGUAACUGUUCAAUGUGUGACGGUAUCUUACCAGAAAGCCACGGCUAACUACGUGCCAG
rnacentral:rRNA from 1 species